ACUCGAUUUGAGCCGGCCCUUUUAUUUCCUCUUCGUUGCCCCCUUCCUCCCUCGUGUGACACGCCACGUUCGUUCCUACCUCCAUAGAGAAGCUUUCCUCCCUCAUGCAUGGAUCCCCUUCUCUUCCCUCGUGCGACGGCUGCUUCACCUGCUUCUUCCUCCCGGGAUCCUUCUCCGGCAAGAGACCACCCGCCUCGUAAGCAGCCGUGGCCAAUGUCUCCGGCGUCGACUCGUCUAGGGUUCCGUCAAGGUCGGCGUCGUCUAGGUCCCCUUCAAGCUUCGUCAAGCUCGGCAUCCACAAGGUAAUGCCCCAAUUUUCCCCAUUCUGUUCCUUUAUCUCUAUGUUGUACCGCGCGACCGAGGCGUUUUUGUUCAUUUUAGCGUUGGUCCACUGUUGCUAGGGUUCUGAGAUUAGAUGAUUCCGGGAUCUGUUUGUAUGAUUCCGAGUUUUAGACAAUGUGAUUGUGUUCAGAGAUUUGGAUUCAUGGUAUGAUUCUGCAUGAUGAUGAUUCAGAGUAUGAUUCAGUAUGAUUUAGAUAAAUGGGAUUUUUGUUUGUUUGUUGAUUCUGCAUGAUGGGGUUUGUGUAGCAUGAUGCAGACAUUUUCUUGUGUUGUUAAUAUGUUCUGUUAGUUUUCUGGAUUUUGUAGCAGCAUCAUGGAGUAGUUCUGGAGACUUGUUAGCAUGUAUUUCGUCGAGAGCACGCACUUAUCAACAUUUAGGCAACACAUGUUAUAAUCUGGUGUCUUGUUAGCAUGUAUUUAGUACACACUCUUAGGUUUGCACCUAAGAGUGUUCUGGUGCUCUAGGAAAUUUGCUCUGCUGUUCUAGGAGCACUUCUACCGAAGAGAGUUUGCACACUAUUUUGUUAAAUUCUACCUUGCUUGCACACCCUCUGUAAGAAUUUGUGUGUAUGUCCUGGUUGCAGCCCUUGGAAGAUUUUGUGUGUCGCACAAGUUCUGCUAUGUCAUGAACUCAUCACCAUCUAGUUGCAUUAUAACACUAUCCCUUUUUCUUCUAAUUAGUUAGGACGCAGUUUAGUCAAACCCAAUUGUUCUGUCAAAUCAAAUUGGCUUAGGAUUGUACCUGGAUUUUAUCAGUAUUCAGUAAUAUGUGUUGGUACUUGGUAGGAAAUGACAUCUGCUUCUCUCUUUUUUUUACAGCUUAUGAAGCCUGAAUUGUUGUUAGUUGUGGCCUUUGCGAGGAGAAUGUUAGCUAGCAAUGAUUUUGUAGUAUCUUGUCAUUCAUCUAACAUACUUCUGUACCAAUUUUUUUGCAAGUAUUAUCCAGGAAAAUGUUUGUUUAAUAAUGUUCCUUUAAUAAAUGUUCUCUUAAUAAAUAUUCUUAAAAAAUGUCAGACAAAUCAAAAAAUGUUUCUACAUAAUUUUAAAAAUGUUCUCAGAAGGAAUUUUUUUAAAAAAAAUAAUGUUUACUGAGGCAUGUUCCCAAAAUAUUGUUCGCAAAUUAAUUUUAGAAAAUAAUGUUCCCUAGGAAUGUUCUUUGAAUAUUGUUCCAAUAAUUUUAAUAUUGUUCGCAAAAAAUGUUCUUUGAAUAAUAUUCCGUGAAAAAUGUUCCCUGAAUAACUGCUCUCUGAAUAAAUGCUUUCUGAAAUAAUUAUUACUGAAUAGUGUUCCUUGAAAAUUGUUUUGUAAAUAAUAUGCCUUGAAAAAUGUUCCCUGAUUAAUAUUCCCUAAAAAAGUUCCAUUGGCAUAAAAAAAAUAAUGCCCCCAAAUAAUGUUCUAUUGGCAUAAAAAAUAAUGUUCCCUGAGUAAUGUUCCUAAAAAAAUUGCUUAACGUUUAAAAAAUAGUCUUGCAACAUUGUUGAGGGAACAAAAAAUUACAUUAUUAAGGGAACAUCGUUCUAUGAAGAUUUCUUUGGGAACAUCGAUGAGGGAACAUUAUUUAGAGAACAAUAUUAAAGGAACAUUAUUUAGGGAACAUUAUUGGGGGAACAAAAAAGUGGAACAUUUAUUUGGGGAACAUUACUAAAGGGACAUUCUUGUAGGAACAUUAUUGGGGGAACAAGUGAUAUUCUGUAAAAAAAAUUAUAAUUGAAUAAUUUUUGCUGCAUAAUGUUCCUUGGGGUCAAGAAAAUUUCCUUGAAUAAAAUAAUGGUCCUUGAAUAAUGUUCCCUCAAUAAUGUUCUCCGUAAAAUAAAAAAAAUGUUCUUCUAAUUAAAUAUUGAUAACUGUAUAAUGUUUUCCAGAAUGAUGUUCCCUAAAUAAUGUUCCUUGGAAAAUGUUGGCACAAGAAACAAACCUAUUGAAGAUCCAACAAAUAUUGUCACACCUAUUGAAGAUCCUUUGCUAGUUCAAGCACUCGAACUGCAUGAAGCACAUACCAGUAAGUUUUCGAAACCAGAAACUUCAACUUGGCAACAACGUGUGAACAAAUCUUUCAAAUCUGGGACACUAGUAAUUCAACAACAGCAAAAAAAGGCAAGUAAGCAGGUCCUCUUUUCGGACGGAAUAGAGAAUGAUUUUUACCAAACAUUGGUUGGACUUCUUCCCAAGUUAACUUACAUGUAUGUAGAAAAAGCAUAUGAAAUUUAUAUGAUAUGUUCUACAUGAUUCAAACAUAAACAAUUUUUUAUGCUGUCCAUGCUAUUUCUCAUGAUUUAUGUUUUACUUUUAUUCAUGUUGUUCUUCUGCCAUGAACAGCUGAAGGAUAUUCGAGAUUGAAGGAGUUUGGUGGAUCCGAAAACUAUAACUGUAUCAUUAAAGACUGGUGGUUGCAUAAAUCCUCGGGUUGUUGACUGUUUUUCAAAACUAAAGAAUAAAGACCAGCUGAACCGAGGAAGAAAAGGCCUCCUACCUAACAGCGAAUUAGUAGAGCACAUCGACAUUCGUUUCCUCAGUUUUCGUUUUCACUUCAUCGACAUUUUCCUUUUCUUAAUUAUCAACCAUUUUCCAGGAAACAAACAUGCAGGAGAAGCUAAUGAACCAAAUGCUAAAUCAUUCAGAUCCUGCAAACAAACUAAUCUUACAGAAAAGUAAUGUUGGCUUCUUUAUUGAAUGCUUCCUUGGUAAGAUAAGUUCUUUUGUACAAAAUGCUCUUAUAGAUUUUUCUUUUUCAAAGAGGUUAGACUAAUAGCGUGUUCAUUUCCACAAUUCCCUAGGUAAAAUUUCCUGUAUUCAAGGAAACAACGGGUUUUAAUCGUUGCUAACUUCAGAGCCAAUUUUUUUGAUAUCAUGAACCCGUACUACAGUGGCGAUACAUUUCUACCAACAAUUAGUGCAAUUACCUACAACUUCACGGUUUUGUUCGCUGCUACGUAUGGAAAUACUAGUUCUUUGAACAUAGGAAAUUUUGAAUCAAGAUUUGUACCAGCUACCAAGGUCAAUUUCAAGUUGGGUUUCCAUGGAACUCUCCCCUUUUACAAGAUUUGUACCAGCCAGCAUCAACUUCUUGGUUCUUUCUCCUAAAAAACAGAUUAAAAGUAUUUUUAAAUUCACAAUAAUUUCCAUUAGUAACUUUCAAGGACAAUGAAAUUCAGCUUCUUUCCUGCAGAGACAUGUAAGUUCUCUAUUUAUUUUCUCCCAAAGACAGAAGCGAGAUGUUACUUCCUUAGAGCAUCUUUUUUGUACUGAAUAGUGAAAUUAACUUCUUCUAAUACCACAUUUGUUUCAACAGGGUUUCAACAUAUUCAAGUGAAGCUUUGAAUGCCAAUCAUUAUUUGAUCUGAAUAUGAAGUCAACUUAGGGUCUCAUUAAUGCUGUCAACUUCAAGGGAAAUUGCACUGCAAGAUUCAACUCAAAGGAAUACUUCUGCAGGGAAAAUGUUUCAUUAAUGAUACCAUUUUUUGUUUUUAUCUUGAUGCCCCAAUGAUAGUUUCUUGUAACACCUUGAUCUAUAAAGAAAGUCCGAAAACAGCA